GGUAGUAAUGUCUGGGAAACUGCCUGAUGGAGGGGGAUAACUACUGGAAACGGUAGCUAAUACCGCAUAACGUCGCAAGACCAAAGAGGGGGACCUUCGGGCCUCUUGCCAUCAGAUGUGCCCAGAUGGGAUUAGCUAGUAGGUGGGGUAACGGCUCACCUAGGCGACGAUCCCUAGCUGGUCUGAGAGGAUGACCAGCCACACUGGAACUGAGACACGGUCCAG
rnacentral:rRNA from 1 species